AAUUGAAGCCCUAGCUUUUAACCUUGAGCCAAUUCUUUCUUCUCUUCUCAAUGCCAUUCAACCUUAGACGAUGCUCUCUUCUCUCCUGUCUAUUCUGCCCUCCACAGUUCUCACACUGAACGCUAAAAUAAAACUGAUCCAACACAUUUUUUAUGGAAAAUCAUCAUGUUUUUCAUUGGUCGGCUCCCAUUGAUCAAAUCGAUUUGGGAUAUAAUUGGAGAUUCAUUUGGCCAAGCCCUUCAUUCUUCUCUCCCUGUCCCUGAUGAAGAAAAUGAAAUUGAAGCUAAUCAAGGUUGGGAAUGUCGAUCUUUGCUCUCAGAUCAAUGACUUUAGAAGCCAAUCAAGCUUGCAUGUUGCCUCCCUCCUUUUCUCCCAACAUUUGGCGCCUAACGUCUACCGUCUUGUCACCCAACUAUGGUUUGGGAUGAUAAUUGGAGAUUCAUUUGGCCAAGCCCUUCAUUCUUCUCUCCUUGUCCCUGAUGAAGAAAAUGAAAUUAAAGCUAAAUAAGGUUGGGAAUGUCGAUCUUUGCUCUCAGAUCAAUGACUUUAGAAGCCAAUCAAGCUUAUGAAGAUGAAAUCACCAAAGGCUCCUCAAUUCUCUCAAGUCGUUUAUUCCAAAUCAAUAUCAA